ensembl:lncRNA
GGAGACAAUGGGUGCCUCACUUAGAGUGAAGUCUCGCGUCUCAUUCCUGAUCUGAAAUGACCCACAUGGAUUCACACUGUCUCAGAACCUUUAUUUCUUUGAGAUAUAUAUAUAUAUAUUUUCUGGAAGCUUGGAAAGUCCUGGGGGUGUUCUAUGAAUAGGCAAUCAAUAUGGACUUCAUUGAAAUAUCGUGUGUCAAUUGGAUUUCAUCCCUUAAUCACACUGGCAGAGAAAAGAGGGUAGUGGCUGCUUUGGAGAAUGGAGGAAGCCAGAAAGAAGAUAAAGAGUGAAGAUACAAGAAGACAACGGGAUAAGAUUCAGGGAAGAGAGAAGGUCAUAGAGCUGAGAAGGAAUUGACUUUUCUUCAUGUUAAGGGUGGCAGAGGGGAAGACUUCAGCUGAUCACUAUUCAGGUACAUCUGGAUCCAGGAAUAAGAAACCGUAUGGUGUCCAACUCCUUCAAAAUGAAUUUGUUUCUUCGUGUUUUCCUGUUCUGCCUUCGGUGGUGUCAGCUUUAUUCUCAGAAAUCAUGCUGGUUCCCCAACCUGCAUACCCAUGGUGCAAAUUUCACAUCGUCACACUACCCAACCGGAGACCAAUGGAGAACCUAUUUCUGGUCUCCAACUACCAAAGCUGUAAGGCCAAGGGAGAUUUACCUAGUAUUGUGAGAAAAAGAAAAUAAACCUGACAACUUUCAUCUCUUCUCUAAGAAACUGAAGUCUAUCUACAAGAAAACCGGGGCUUCCUUUAUUUUUAGGGACUGUACCCCACCAGGCUCCUCUGUCCAUGGAAGUCUCCAGGCAAGAAUUCUGAAGUGGGUUGCCAUUUCCUUCUCCAGAGAAUCUUCCCAACCCAGGGAUGGAACCUGGGUCUCCAGCAUUGCAGUAGAUUCUUUACCAUCUGAGCCACCAGCAGACAGUAAGAACUAUAGCCCAGGCACUGUGGUGGACCUUGGACUCUAGUCACUGGAUUCCUCUCAGAGACCAGACCAUUGGAUAAGAGGAACAGUCCAAAAGCAGGUAGGGAAGAUUUCCAUUCUAAACUCCCUGGUACACCACAGUCUGACUCUGUGUUGAGGCCCCGUGUGAACAACAUCUCCGCUCCACCACCACCCAUCACCCCCUGUGCAUGGUGGUGGUUGUCUAGUCACCAAGCCAUGUCCGAUAUCCCUGGACAAUACCAAAGCUGGGUAGAAACGAUCACCCUGGAUGCUGAAAUCUGAGAUUUCCA